GCCUGGAUAGCUCAGUGGUAGAGCGCAGUCCUGAAGAGACUGGCGUCGGGUGUUCAAUUCACCCUCCAGGCA
rnacentral:tRNA from 1 species